UACGUAGGGGGCAAGCGUUGUCCGGAAUCAUUGGGCGUAAAGAGCGUGUAGGCGGCCCGGUAAGUCCGUUGUGAAAGUCCAGGGCUCAACCCUGGAAAGCCGAUGGAUACUGCCGGGCUAGAGUUCGGAAGAGGCGAGUGGAAUUCCUGGUGUAGCGGUGGAAUGCGCAGAUAUCAGGAGGAACACCGAUGGCGAAGGCAGGUCUCUGGGCCACUACUGACGCUGAGAAGCGAAAGCAUGGGGAGCGAACAGG
rnacentral:rRNA from 1 species